rnacentral:rRNA from 1 species
ACUCCUACGGGAGGCAGCAGUGGGGAAUAUUGCACAAUGGGCGCAAGCCUGAUGCAGCCAUGCCGCGUGUAUGAAGAAGGCCUUCGGGUUGUAAAGUACUUUCAGCAGUGAGGAAGGUAGUAGUAGUUAAUAGCUUGCUAUUAUUUGACGUUAGCUAGCAAGAAGAAGCGACCGCUAACUCCGUGCCAGCAGCCGCGGUAAUACGGAGGGUGCGAGCGUUAAUCGGAAUUACUGGGCGUAAAGCGCAUGCAGGUGGUUUGUUAAGUCAGAUGUGAAAGCCCGGGGCUCAACCUCGGAAUAUGACAUUGAACAU